UCCAUUAAGUUCCAAAACAGAAAAGAGAGAUACUUAACUGGGGGAAAGCCAGAUGUUGAACUCUCCACCGAUUCCAAAAACAUCAAGCAACUUGAAAGAUGGAUGGCUCUUCAGCUCUAGUUUCUGACUUUCCAUUUGGCAUUGGUCCUUGAACACGACAACAUAAUGAUGUUCUCAAUUCGGUGAUUUUCAAAUAUUUUAAUCCUAAUUAAAGCAUAAAGAAAAAGUUGCGUUAGCUGAGCUCGAAUGCCCGCCAAGUGUGAGAAAACUGUAUCUCAGCUGUAUGUACUGUUACACAGUGUUCUUGGAACUUCUCAUAUGUCAUUCUGUCUGUUCAUGUGCAAUCUGAUAACUAACUACAAUUAGCAAAUGAAAUAUUUAUAUAUGCUACCACGUAGUCAGUCCAUAUGUGCAAAAUAUUGCAAGAUCCUCAAGUAGCAUUUAGCAUCACCCACUGUUAUGUUAGUUUCCUGAAAUAGGAAACUAUGCUGUCUUAUGCAGUCUUAUGAAGUAUGCCCCCCAAGGAUGCAAUUUCCUUGCUUUGCGUGUUUGUGGUAGAGCUCAAGUCAUCCUCCAGUGAGGCGACUGGUUUGGCCUCUCACAAAAUUCAGCACCACCAGCCCACAGUUCUCUUUCCUUUUUCUCCGUGUUACUCUUGUGCUUCACCUACAAGCUACACCAUGUCCCAACGAGUAGUGUUCAUCCACGUGGGAUGAACACUAGCCAGUUACUACUUUAUUUAUAAAAAUUCCAGUCAUUGUCCGAGCACAACUGACUGACAGCACACACUGAGAACUUCGUAAAGGACUUUUAAACCUUCCACAGACACACAGUUUUUAACCAGCAUGUGAACAAUAUGAGAAGCUUGUUGACUUCUGAAAAAAUUGCCUGGAACUGAAAAUCCAUAAGUGGAAGGAAAGCAAGCCUCUGAUUCACUUGACUUAAAUCAAGGGACAUCCAACAGUUGAAGGAACGUGGGGCAGCUGCCCUCAAUGAAAUAUCGAUACAGGAAAUGAACAGUCCAGCAGCAUUCCAUGUAUUGAAAUACAAGCCAUUUCCACCAAGAUAACACUCAGUAAGCAACACAACAAAAGAGAAGACUCUGGGUUGAUCAUUGCAAUUCCUCAAGCAUCUCCUGGGUGAAGAGCUGGUUGUCCCAGGACACAUUGAAAAGACUAUUCUUUCCCUGUGGCGUGCCUGACACAUUGUGGAAAAUCAAUUGACUAUGGACAAAUGGAUUUAUUUUUGGACUCUGAAUUCUAUUGCAUGGAUUCAUUAGGGGAAAAAAUCUAUUUAUUAAAUGUAUGAUGAGAUAUAAAAGAAA